UGCAGUCGACGAGCUUCCGUUGAAUGACGUGCUUGCACUGAUUUCAACAAUGAAGCGAGUGGCGAACUGGUGAGUAACACGUGGGGAAUCUGCCCAGAAGCAGGGGAUAACACUUGGAAACAGGUGCUAAUACCGUAUAACAACAAAAUCCGCAUGGAUUUUGUUUGAAAGGUGGCUUCGGCUAUCACUUCUGGAUGAUCCCGCGGCGUAUUAGUUAGUUGGUGAGGUAAAGGCCCACCAAGACGAUGAUACGUAGCCGACCUGAGAGGGUAAUCGGCCACAUUGGGACUGAGACACGGCCCAAACUCCUACGGGAGGCAGCAGUAGGGAAUCUUCCACAAUGGACGAAAGUCUGAUGGAGCAAUGCCGCGUGAGUGAAGAAGGGUUUCGGCUCGUAAAACUCUGUUGUUAAAGAAGAACACCUUUGAGAGUAACUGUUCAAGGGUUGACGGUAUUUAACCAGAAAGCCACGGCUAACUACGUGCCAGCAGCCGCGGUAAUACGUAGGUGGCAAGCGUUGUCCGGAUUUAUUGGGCGUAAAGCGAGCGCAGGCGGUUUUUUAAGUCUGAUGUGAAAGCCUUCGGCUUAACCGGAGAAGUGCAUCGGAAACUGGGAGACUUGAGUGCAGAAGAGGACAGUGGAACUCCAUGUGUAGCGGUGGAAUGCGUAGAUAUAUGGAAGAACACCAGUGGCGAAGGCGGCUGUCUAGUCUGUAACUGACGCUGAGGCUCGAAAGCAUGGGUAGCGAACAGGAUUAGAUACCCUG
rnacentral:rRNA from 2 species